AAGUCGUAACAAGGUUUCCGUAGGUGAACCUGCGGAAGGAUCAUUCAAAUAAAGCGGUAGGAGUGGGGGUCUGAUCUGUAAGUGGAGAGCAACAGUCGGCUCCUCCCGAAAUGUCUUAUCUCCCCCCACAGCCUGAAGGCCGAUUACAACCCCUUGUUAUCUACACUUGUUGCUUUGGGGGUGCCAGGCCCCGAGGCCCACUCCUGCAUUUAGUGACGUCUGAGUACUAUAUAAUGUUUAAA
rnacentral:misc_RNA from 1 species